UACGGAGGGUGCGAGCGUUGUCCGGAAUCACUGGGCGUAAAGGGCGCGUAGGUGGCGCGGGCAGUCAACGGUGAAAGUUCGGGGCUCAACCCUGAAUCGGCCGUCGAUACUCCCGGGCUUGAGCACUGUAGAGGCAGAUGGAAUUCCGGGUGUAGCGGUGGAAUGCGUAGAGAUCCGGAAGAACACCGGUGGCGAAGGCGGUCUGCUGGGCAGUAGCUGACACUGAGGCGCGACAGCGUGGGGAGCAACAGG
rnacentral:rRNA from 1 species